UAGUUUUAAAAUCAAUAGCACCUACGCACUGUUGGUGGAUUUUAUUUCCAGGAUUUGGAUUACAUGUCGUUGCACGAGUGGAGCGAAGCGGACAUGCCGCUGACGAGAAGCCGCUCGGCCCGUACGUUCCGUUCGCAUACGCCGCGCACGCCCCGCGCCCUUUCACCACAAAAGCGGACGGAAGCGCGCACGCCCCGCGCUCUUUCGCCACAGAAGUGGUCCGAAGUGCACACGUCCCGGGCCCUUUCGCCACAGAAGCGGUCAGAAGCGCGCAUGGACCGCCGCAUGUCCGUCAGGCCCGCCACCGCGCGCGAGCCGAGAAGAUCCGCCUGCUCCCGCAGACCUUCACUCACACAGAGACCGGCUUUUACAGUUUAUUAGACACGCACGUGAGAUAGUUUUGUAAUCAGUAUGACUAUAAAGGAAUCAGAUCACAAGGUUAUCAGAUCACACUAAAACGAGAGAAAACGGGUUUCCUCCAUGUACUACCGACACAAAACUGAAAUGUCUAUUCAUCUAUUGUCUUAUUAAAUAAUUUCAGUUUUGUAUUAGGUUUAGGAAUUGUUCAGUCGCGACUCCCUAAAUAUUCAGUCACUGAAAAAAUGUGUUAAAAGUUUGGAUAAAGUUAUUCAAUAACCAAAGACCCAAAGUAAUUUGCCAAUAGCUUAAAAUUGAACUCAUUUCCAAAACUAAAGUCGUAGCAGUUCAAUUCAUAAAUAUUGUGAAGUAGCCUGCAAAAGCUACGAAGCAGAAAAUAUUAUAAAUUAUCGUGAUCAACGGUUAACCUAUAAUAUUAAUAAUUCCUCAGAAAUGCCAACUUAUUAUCAUCUCUGAAGUUUUUCUGAUUAUUUCACGAUCAAAAGCAGCUUAGAAUAUUGGAAUAACUGCUUAAAACACAUUUUAUCUUUGUGAGUGGAAAUGAUGAAAACACUCUUGAUUUUUCACUGUCUUUUAUAAAAUUAUACUUAGUUACUUAUGAUAUUAUGUUUGAGAAGCUUCACGUGCCCAGGGCCCAUUUUGUAAUUUAAUAAGGAACACUUAAACAAUGUGUCAUUACUCAUUAAUGAUAUCAGUAAUUUGUAACAUGUAGAGUUCUUAUCACAUCAGCAGAUAGGUUUAGUUGGUGUAGUGUAGUGCUAAUGGCAAAAUGUUUAGUAAACACGCUCUGCAAGUCUCUUCUUACAUUUCAUUAGCAGUUCGAACUUGGCUGACAACUAUUUUUUCAUCCAAAUCAGAUAACCCCAAUGUAUGACAGAACAAGUCCACUAAAUCUUAAAUUUCAGAAAAUAUGUAAUACAAAACUAAAUGUAAAAGUGAUAGCUUUUGAUGUCUUUUGACUAUUAGUAGUUGUGUCAUGUGUUGUUAUUUUAUCAAAAUAUAUCAUUGUCUCACCAAC